GGAAACUGUGGAUAGCUCUCGGGAAGGUGCAUUGACAUUUUUCCGUUAUUGUAGAAAAGUCUAGACCCUAACCUUCUAAAACUAGUAUUUUUAUGGGUCUAUCAAAAAUAAAAGUUUUGUAGAGAAAUAAUAUACUUCGUUUUACUCGAAAACUUAGCGACGUAUAAAUAAUUUACGCUGUGACGAAACUGUAAUAAAUCAUGAACAAGAUGAAGCAGUGCUCAGAGAAUUUUAACGAUCUACCCCCUAACUAGUAAUAACAGCAGGUAAAUCGCCUAGAAAUAUAUUCACUAAAAUCCUUCUUGUAGAAUUUCCACCGAUUUUCGUCAUUUGUUACACAUUUCGCCAUUGAGCGACCUAAAUCGU